UAAGCAUAUUCCAGUGGAAUAUUUGCUUUGAGUUUCCUUAGUUUCCCAGCAAGAGGAGGUAUAUUAUUGGGCAUUACUCAGAUUCUCUGCGUAAUUAUUGUCUCCCUCCCCUUUCUUGUGCAUGCGAGUUGCUUGCUUUUUCCGAUGACAGUCCCAGAAACCAAACCAAGCCAGGCACAGGGUGAAAAUAAUGAUGGAAUUUCCCGCGCCAGGAUAGCUUGCAAUUCCAUUUUGACAUCCCAGUCUAAAACUUGUUAGACUUGCCCCAAUACUAGCCUUCCAGGUAUGCUUCCACCAUAUUUCUUUUUGUUAUUAGGCGAAAUUGUGUGGGUUGGUUGUAUAAAUCCAAGUCUAUUUAUCUUUUAAUAAAGUUUUACAAGAAAUAACAUGAAUAAAAAUUAAUAAUAUUAUUAACGGUUUCUUACCAAGAUAAAAUGUUUGUGUUAUAAAUAUUUGCCUUUUCGGUUGGAGCUCAGUAUCCCAAAUGGCCAAAUCUCACUGUACAAAAAAAGUGUAUGAAAAGAAUUUCCAGAGUUAGAUUAUCACGAAAUAUGUAUCAUUAGUGUACAAAAAAAAAGUGGAAUUGCCGAUCCUCGCCUCCGUCUCUCCCGCUUAAUUGGCUAUACAGAGCACCUGGAUUCUUGUCAAUCAAGGGAAGUUAAUAUAGUGUCACUGUCAUGCCUCAAAUAGCACAAAAUCAAGGUUUCUCUCUUGUGCUUUCUGCUUGUUUCAGAGAAACCCCAGUUUCCACCUUAGUUAACAGAGUAAACAUUGCCGCAUGCAUGAGCUCAGCUUGCUGUGAUCUGGUCUCUCACUUUGAGGGUUUACCAAUAUAUAUAUAUAUAUAUAUAUAUUA